CCUACGGGAGGCAGCAGUAGGGAAUAUUGGACAAUGGGCGAAAGCCUGAUCCAGCAACGCCGCGUGCACGAUGACGGCCUUCUGGUUGUAAAGUGCUUUUAGGAGAGAUGAGAAAGGACAGUAUCUCCUGAAUAAGCCUCGGCGAACUACGUGCCAGCAGCCGCGGUAAAACGUAGGAGGCAAGCGUUAUCCGGAUUUAUUGGGCGUAAAGCGCGUGCAGGCGGUUUGGUAAGUUGGAUGUGAAAGCUCCUGGCUUAACUGGGAGAGGUCGUUCAAAACUACCAGACUAGAGAAUGGGAGAGGGAAGUGGAAUUCCGGGUGUAGUGGUGAAAUGCGUAGAUAUCCGGAGGAACACCAGUGGCGAAAGCGGCUUCCUGGACCAUUUCUGACGCUAAGACGCGAAAGCUAGGGGAGCGAACGGGAUUAGAGACCCCGGUAGUCCUAGCUGUAAACGAUGUAGACUUGGCGUUGGCGGAGUUAAAUCUGCCAGUGCCGGAGCUAACGCGUUAAGUCUACCGCCUGGGGACUACGACCGCAAGGUUAAAACUCAAAGGAAUUGACGG
rnacentral:rRNA from 1 species